GGUGAACGCUGGCGGCGUGCUUAAGACAUGCAAGUCGAACGGCAGUCUUCGGACUGUAGUGGCGCACGGGUGAGUAACGCGUAACUGACCUACCCCAAAGUCGCGGAUAACGAUUCGAAAGAAUCGCUAAUACGUGAUGUGCUGUCAGAUUGUGUUCUGCCAGUAAAGAUUGAUUGCUUUGGGAUGGGGUUGCGUUCCAUCAGCUAGUUGGUGGGGUAAAGGCCCACCAAGGCGACGACGGAUAGCCGGCCUGAGAGGGUGGCCGGGCACAGGGGCACUGGGACACGGGUGCGAGUACUACGGGAGGCAGCAGUUAGGAAUCGGCCACACUGGGCGAAAGCCUGAUGGAGCGACGCCGCGUGAGGGAUGAAGGUCUUCGGAUCGUAAACCUCUGAAUCAGGGACGAAAGACACUUCGGUGGGAUGACGGUACCUGAGUAAUAGCACCGGCUAACUCCGUGCCAGCCGCCGCCGUAAAAC
rnacentral:rRNA from 1 species